rnacentral:lncRNA from 1 species
UCUGGAGGGGAGGCCAUGGGAGUGAGAAAGCUUGAGGAUUUGAGUGGCGGUGGACUUGACGGAGGAGAGGGAAACGGAGAGGGCGGCGGUGGCCAAAAGGCGGGGACUUGUUUGGAUGGCAUUGGCAUGGACUGAAAGAGAUGAAAAACAGAGACGAGGGUAAGUGGUGGAACUGCAAGAGCUUUUUAUGAACUCUGUGCUGCUUUGUGGAGUUAUGGCUGAAUGAAUCAGUGUUAAUUGGAGAAUUAAUUGGAAAAGAAUCAAACUUUUCUUGGAGUUUGAGAUACCCAUCUCUGUUUUUUUUUUUUUUUUUUUUUUUUAUGCAAAUGGAAGGAAUUUAGGAGGAAGGGGAAGUGAUGAAGAGAAAGGGGUGAAAUGGGUUUUGUAUUUAUAAGCAAAUGACCAUUGCAUUUACACAUAAAAGCUAAGUCUCAGAGACAAACUAGAGGUUUAGAGGACUUUGAGGCAAACAGAAAAAUAAGUUAUUAAAUUUGUAUAUUCUUAAAUCACCCAUUGACGUAAAAGUUUAAGAUGACUAGUAAAAAUACAUUUAAUAUUAUAUCUUACUUGUACGUUUGAAAUUUAAUAUUAUAUCUUACUUGUACGCUUGAAACAUGAAGAAACAUCAAACAAGUAGAAAUUAAUUUUAUUUGAGAAGAAAAUAUCAUUCAAACAGUUUGACAUAAGAUCUUUAUGCACCAUUCACUCUAGUAUUAUCUUAAAACACUAAUUGAUCAAAAGGCUUAAGGGUUUUUAUAUCGAUGACCCAUUGUUAAAUAUGUUUUAGUUUCGUAACCUUCCUCGAGUAAAUAAGAAUUAUAACCUUUCACUUACAUCACAUUUACUUUUUAAGAAGCACACAGUCGUACUUGUGAGCAUCAAUCCAAGCUGAUUAAAGAGGCACCUUGUGCCUGAGUUAACAUACCCUGAUGAAAAUUUUAAGUGCGCUGAACUUUCUCCCUCACACUCGUGAGUACCCAAUUAGGUUGAUUAAGACGCCCUAGUUUGAGUCUGAUUCAAUCAUAAAACUGCAAGGGGCAAGCAAGACUAAGUUUCUUUCCGUACAAAAAUCUAUAUGUUGUUAGGCUUGUUUAGAAAUUAUUUGUUUUUUUUUUCCAAUGAUUUUCAUCUAUCUCAGGUAAAAAAUAGUUGAAUUAUUAACCAAAUUUUAAUUUUUAAAAAUUCUUAAAAACUAAAAAUAUUUUGUUAGAUGAAAAUAAAUAUUAUAUUAUUAAUUUUAUCUUUAAGCUGAGAUUUUUGAGAAAAUUGUUUAAUUUAACAUAUUAUCAAAGCAAGUGAUGGUUGAGGUCCUAUGUUCGGUAGAAGAUGUGUUUAUAGGUUUAAUUUUGAAAAACAAAAAAUUAAGAUCCCAAUUGGUAAUUAUUUUGCUUUUGAAAAUUAAGCCUACAUAUCCUACUUACAUUUUCAAAUUUCUUGCUUUAUUUUCUACCUUUUACCAAUAGUUUAAAAACCAAGAAUAAAUUAUAAAAACUAAAAAUAUAUUCUAAAGAGGGAUGAAUCAUAAAAAAUAGAAAGGAAAAAACGCUUAAUUUUGAAAAACUAAAACAAAAAAUAAGAUGAUUAUGAAAAGAAGCCUCAUAAUUUGUAACUUUCUUCCCUAUAUACUUUAGUUGGAAUAACAGGAACCAAAUUUUUAUUUUUUUGUGAAUAACUUUCUUUUUGUUCUGUUCAUAACAAUUGUCCAAAUAUGUUAGUCAGGAGAGAUGGGAAGGUUGAGAAAGCGAGAGAAUAAUAAUAAUUUGGAUGACCGACAAAAAUAAAACCCAACAAUUAUAUAAUAAUAAUAAUUUUUUUAAAAAAAAAUUAACAUUUAAAAGACGUACUAUUGUUUUUAAAAUUUCACUUUGAAUAAAACUCUUAUAUUAAAAAAAAUAAAAUAAAAUAAAAAGUACAAGCCAUCCUGAGAAAUGAAAAGAAAAUAAGUAAAACUUUUCAAAAACUAAAUAACUACCCAAAGCCCAACGGAAGUUUAAAUAUAAUUCUAACUUAUAUAUUGCUUUCUCCUCAUUAUAUUUAUUGUUCAAUUACUGGUCUUUUUCAAAUUGUGUUGUCCAAGUCGACUUGCAAGUCCAUUUUGUACGGAAAUACUACAUUCAAUAUAUAAUAAGAAAAAAAUAAACUAUUUAUGAAUAUAAUUAAUUAUAGUUUUUUAUUAUUAAUGGUGAGAAAAAUAAAGAGGGAAUCGUAUGGGAGGAAGGAAAUGGGUGUUUUUGGUGAACCUCCUCAAACUUCUACUUGCAUGCAUUUCUCACUCUCUCUUACGCCUCACUAAUGCUCAAGUUUUCUUUUCUUUUACAAAAACAAACACUUCUCAGUCGUCAUUGUCAAUAACCAAACUGAUGUCUCACCGCUCAUAUCAAAUUUCAUUCAAUAAUAACUAAAUAAACCUUUACGUCCCACCACAUGUUUAAAUGCAAUUAAAUCCCCUUUAAUCAUUUUAAAUUAAAUAAACUUUCCCAAAAUUAACUUAUCUUCCUCUAUAUGCUAAUUGACACGACAAAAAAAAAUAUAAAUAUUUGAUCUAUCAUCCAUACACUUGAUUUAGUCAUCAAAUAAAAAUAAAAAUAUAUAGAUUGUUUUUUUUUUUGUCUCUUUAAUUUUUCUUGUUAGUAUACAUUAGAACUAUAAGCUAUAUUUAUUUUGACAAAAAAAAUUAAUUUAGUUCGAUAAAUAAUAACAAAAUCUCAUGGAUAUUAUUAAAAGAGAAUAUUUGAGAAUCCAAACUUUUUAAUAGUCAAUUUUGGGUUUAAAUGAAAGAACAAUGACAAUUCUUUUUGUUAAUUUUGGUGAGCCCCAAAUGAUUCGGAACCAAUCAACUUCUGAAGUUAAGGUUAACCAUUUCCAACAACGUUGUUUCUACUUUAUUUAAAAUAUCUCAAGUCUUCUUCGACAAGAGAUGCGAGCAUCAUUGUUUUGUUUCAAAUUUUUUUUUUUAGAUUUGAAAUUUAAGUCUAUUUACUCUUUAUUUUAUACAAUGAUUUGUAUCCUUUUUAAGUGUAAUGAUCGAAUUAUUCAUCAAAUUUCAACAAUAAAAGUAAAAAAUAAAAAAUAGUUAUUUUAUAUAUGCAAAUGUUGAAAUAAUUUGAAUUGAGCAUUUAGCAACAAAAUGAGGGGAAUGAAUGUGGGGGUGGUAAAAUGAUUUGGACAUUCUCUAAUCUCUACCAUAAUUUUCAAAUGUCAAUAUCUUAGUUAUUGCAAUCAAAAACAACAAUAUAUAUCACCUCUUUUCCAUACAUACUUUAGAUGUGAUCUUUUAUUUUCCUCUUUUCUUUUUUUCAAACUAGUCAGGGCCACCAACUUUUUAUUUCAAAUAAUUAUAUCACAUUUUUUAUUUAAAACAAUAACUUUUAAAAACCACAUCUUUUUUUAGAUAUUAUAUACUUAUUUUUUAAAAAAAAGCAAACAAAAGAUGCUUCAAGAACUUAAUUUCAAAGCUAAUUUUCUUUAAAGAAAAUAGAUUUAUUUUCAAAAACUUAAAGACUAAAUACUGAUAAAGUUGAAGAUCAAAAACAUUAAACUUUUCAAACUUAAGAACGAAACGCACGAAUUCAUCUUCAAAACUUGAAAACUAAGAAAGUUAUUGUAUUUCGAAACAUAAUUUUUUAAAAAGAUUUCAAUGCAUAUCCAUAAUCUUUAAGAGUUGUAUCCGUAUGAACUUCAAAUAUAAAUUAACCAUUAAACGAUUGUCAACCGUAGUUCACAUUGCAUUGUGUUUAACAAUGUUGAGAGUGAAAAUGCAAAAUUUAUAUGAUUUUUUCAAACAUCAUUUAAUUUAUAUGUUUUCAAAUCUAUUGGGGAGCUUCUGAUUUAGAUUAUUGGUACUUAAAAAUUUCUGUACGUAAUUAACCAAAUAUUUUGUGAAUUAAUUUCAAUCUUAAAAUCUUUUCUAUUCACGUCAAAGUACAAAAUCUGACAAUAAGAAAUUAGUAACAUAUUUUCUUCUUAAACAUUUAUCUAUAGUAUCUUUUGAUUAAGAAACAUAAUCAAUUGUGUAAGGAAGGAAAAAAGAAGUGAAUAAGGAAACAAUCUCCAUGAUUGUAUUCAAUGAUAUUUUAAUAAAACCCAAAGAACUACAGGAAAUUUUAUAUAUAAUUGAGAAAUAUAGAGCUAUUAUAUAUACAUGGACCGCAUCAGGUAGACCAAAAAAAAAAAAAUGCAACAAUAGACUAGAGAGUCUUUUAAAGAGAUGUGAAUGAUAGAAGAAAUUUCUUGUAGCGGUUGAAUUGGAAAAAUUAAAUGAGUUUUUGGAGGUGAUAUUUUGAUAUAUAUCAUGUUGAAUGGAAGUAUAAAAUUACUCGUAAAAGUCAAUACUAGUUGCUUCAAAAGUUUCUUCAUUCCAACAUCAUAAACCUCUUAAAAUCGAAAUUUAAAAUACGUCAAAUUAACAACAAUAAAGGUAAGUAGGAGACGAACAAUUUGGAUCGACUAUUAAAUGUAAGUAGGUGAGAGACUGAAAAUUGAAGGUAUUUUAGUAGACAACUCAAACUCGUAUCAACUUUUCAAUACCAAAUAUUACUUUUUGUAUUUUGUUUGAACAUUGAAAGUUGUGUGGAGUUAUAAUGAUAUUUUAGAGGGUGAGGAUGGAGGAAAAGAGUUACCAAAAUAUAACUAGAUUGCAUUUUUAUUUCUUAUGGGAUAGUUAAGAAUAGUUAUUCUACUUCCUAUAUAUAAAUUUUCCUUAUUGCUAUACUAGUUUUUUUUUUUUUUUUAAUAGUUGAAUUCUUUCACCCAAAUACAAGGUAUUUAUGGUCAUUUAAAAGUUGUUUGACUCACUUUAUUGAAUAUACAAUUUGUUGUUGUAUUUUUUUAGUAGAGUGUAUUUGUGAGAACCAAAAAGUUAUUUUAAGCACAAAAUAUUUGUGUUUUUUUUAGUUUUAAUACAUAUUUUUAUCGUUGUUAAUAUAGAAUCUCAUGGGUAGGAAUUUGAUUUUUCAUUUUUUCUUAAUAAAUAGUUAAAUUUAAAAAUAUUUUUUAAUAAUAGUGAAAUCCUACGAAAGGUUGGUUAUCUUUGUUCUUUUCUACUAUAAUAUAACCUCUUUUGUAAAAAUUGAUAUGUGAUUCUUGCUGAUUAUGUUAUUCAUUUAAUGAAGGAGAUUUUAAAAAAUACAACAAACCUACCGGAACAAUUUUAAAAACGAAAAAGCUCUAAAUAUAUUAAAGUAUGUACCAACAUAAUUGUACAUACUUUAAAUAGAUUUGGCUACCCAAAUCUAAACUGUAUCAAUACAUCUUGUUGGAAGGGGCUGACAAGUAUAGUUACCACUAAACUGUUUAUAAAUAUUAAGUAUAAAUUUGUUUUGUUUAUACAUAUUAUAUAAAGACAAUAAAAUUGAGGGGGUUCGAGCCCCUGAGCCUAUACUAAAUUCGCCGGUGAAUACAAAACUAAGUAUGUAUGUGAAGUUUAUUUGAUAUAUACACACAACACUGUAUAUAUAGACUAGCACGGAGGAAAUAUUAAUUUUUUAAAAAAAUAAGAAAAAGGAGAUAAUUUUAAAAAGAUUUUAAAAAGAUAACCUAAUAAUUAAUAAUAAUUUAGAAAAAACCUGAAAAAGGAAAAGAAAAAGUAGAGAAAGUGUAUUUUAAAAAUAUUAUUAUAAUUAAACUAAAGAUUAUUUGGAAUGACUCAAAUAAAUAUUUUUAAAAAAAUCAUUUUUAUUUAAACGCUUUUGAUAAAAACUUAUAAAUUAUUUUUAUAUAUAAGUUUCUUUUAUUUGUUAUAUGUACUAAAAAUAUUUUUAUUAAAAAAUUUUAAAGUUGAGCAGUGGCGACAGUCGCUAGAGUUGGUUGUUGGAAGUUUGUCAGUAGAGUCACCAAAGGUGAUAGUCGGAGUAUGACCAAGACGACUAUUAUCGAAGAUUGACCUAAUUAAACCGUAAAAAUGUUAUUAUUAAAAGUUUGCAAGGUUGAUCGAUAGCGACCAAAGAUGUUUAGUUGGUUGAUGAACUUUCCAACCCUUGGAACAAAUAUCUCUAGGGUUGAAGAAUAGCAAGACAUAUAAGUAAUUUUAAAUUCUAAUUCUAAUAUUCAACUAAAACUAAACAUUGUCCCAAAUAUUGAGCAAACUAUUAUAGCAUAUGCUCCACUUCUAGCCCCAAACAUGUCUUUGAUGGUUAGGAUUUCAAUCUUAUAUUAUUUGAAUUAGUUAGGGGUAUUUUGGUCCAUUGUUAAUUCACAAUUAAUAAUUUUAGAAUUCAUUUUGUUGUUUUUAUAAUUUUUUUUUGUUUUUUCUAAGUGAAAUAUUUUGUUUUGUAAUUUCUCUUCUUAGUUGGCCAAAUAAUAUAUUCAUUAACUCUAAUUUUGGGAUAGUUGCAAAUAUAUAACAAAAUAUUUAAAUAAAUUGUAAAUAUAACAAAAUAUGUCAAAAACUAUCAAUGACAGAAGUGUAUCGCCGAUAGAUCAUGCUGAAAAUAUUAGUCUAUCGACAAUAGACCAUAAAAAUAUAUCAAUAAUAAAAACUUUUAUCGCUUCUAUCGUUGAUAGACCAUAAGAAUCUAUCAACGACAGAAAUGUAUCACGGAUAGAAUUUGCUAUAAUAUUUUUAGUUCUUUUUUUAAUAUUGUUAUAUAUUGAAUUAUUAUUAUAAACAUGGUUACAUGGAUAAUUAUAAUAUAUGAUAAUUUUAUGAAUAAUAAUUAAGCAUAUGUAAUAACAUUUUGACUCUUAUGGCCUAUUAGUGAUACACUUUGUUCUAUUUGUAAUUUUUAAAAUAUUACUAUAUAUAUAUAUAUAUAUAUAUACUUAAUUAUUGUAUGCAACAAUCGAGAGCCCAACCCUGUGUUAUCUAAUUAGGUUGAUAAGCUAAGCCCAAUCCGUAGCACAACCGUCAGCCCAAUUUAAAAAUAGAAAACUAAAACCUCACGCUCACGCCUCCCACUCCUCUCCAGUUUUAAACUUGGGUGAACUUUUAUGUUCUCUUUUCCUUCUCACCCUCAUUCUUUUUCCUUUUCUACAGUUCUUUAACUUUACCAUCCCCUUCCCACUCUGCUCAUCAUAAUUUAUUCAAACAACUAUCUUUGAUAUAUCAGUUAAAACUUUAAAACGGUGAUUGUUGUGGCAUAACGCCAAAGCCACAACCGGUGGAGGUACUUUUUUCUUUUAUUGAGGGAUAGCAAAACUUUGACGAAAAAAUAAAACGGGUUUAAAAAGGCGCUAUACUGUGAGGACUGUCGAUUUUAGAUGAUUCAUCUUUAAAUCGAGGGUUUCUGUUGAUCUUUGGCUUGUCCACAACCUAACCCAACCCAAACGUACAAACCUUUAAAUUCCUUCUCUACUUUACCUUAAUAAUUAUAAUAACCCGUGAAAAGUAUUACAAAAAUAUUAUAUUUUAUUUGCUUUUACUCUAUUUUUCUAAAUAUAUAUUUUUGUAGGGUAAAAUGCACUUCUGAGUAGAUGCUGACAUGGAUGAGUUAGCAUUUUAUUUAUUUGAUGAUGUGGUGAAUAAACUUAAAAAAGUAAACCUUCUCAAAUUAUAGUGACAUUUCAAAACAUUUUAGAUCUCUCUAGUUAUUUGGAACCUAAUUCAUCUCUUUGGACUACUAUUGAAUCGAAAAAUAGGUUUGAUUCUCCAUCUUUUUUAUAUAAUAGUAAGGCCUCCUUCAGAUAAUUCAAAUUGAAGCAAUUAGAUGUCCAACUCAGACUUGAUAGUCAAAUAUUCACGACCCACAUCCACUUCAAGAGGUGUCGUGGUCUCUAACAGAAGGCAAGUCAACAAUGAACAAUUAUAAAAUACUAGUGUAGAGAGAGGUGUGCAGUAAGAAUGAACCAUGGGCAAAGAAGAAGAUUUUUCACUAUUUUAAGUAUAUUAUAUUUUACUUGCAGGUUUAACUUUUAAGUUAAUUUGUCCACCUAAUAAAAUAAAAUGACAUGUCAAUCUAAUCAAGUCAUGAUUUGAUAACCAUUUCGUUAGGGUAAAGUUAACUAUGUGACCAUUUAGUAUCAUUUUGAAAAUCUUAAAAAGACAAAUUUUAUUUUAAAACUUUAUAGACUAAAUAGACAUCGAAUCUAAAUUAAUUUUUGAUGGUUGUCUACGUAAAAACCAUCUCCCCACAAAUCCUAAUAACUUCAAUAAAAUUAUACAUACUCCAUGGAAUUAAUAAUGCAAAAAUAACUCCAACCUCCACACGUAAACCCUACUUAAACCUAUAUAUUACCAAGUAUAAAAUACCAUGACAAAAACUCCACCAUCUAACCUAAAUAUCAUACUUACACUUCCACCUUUCAAAUCUCACACACCAACAACGUAUAGUACACACUAAUCACCUACCAUCGUCAAAUUUGAGUCUUUUUCCUCAAUCAAAGACAGGUGGUGCACUUCAAGAUACAGCUAAUGCAAAUCAGCUAUCCGAUUAAUCAAAGACAGAGCAUUACUAGUCAACUGCGCAAUGUUGACAAUCUUAGUCCUAACCUCAGCCUUAACGCCUCCGUUCACCGUCUUCCCCUGAAACCCUUCGCUACAUGUGGUUUCAUCCGUCAGAGCGGCGCUAACCCAUGUCUGAACAUUACUCAUUGCGAGGUCGAAAUUGGUUCCACGGAGCUUCGGCAUCUCGGAAAUGGAAGCAGCGAGGGAGUCGACAGAGUCACUCAGUUCUUCCAAACAGUCGUUAAGAGCAGAAACAUCUCUGGAGGGGAGGCCAUGGGAGUGAGAAAGCUUGAGGAUUUGAGUGGCGGUGGACUUGACGGAGGAGAGGGAAACGGAGAGGGCGGCGGUGGCCAAAAGGCGGGGACUUGUUUGGAUGGCAUUGGCAUGGACUGAAAGAGAUGAAAAACAGAGACGAGGGUAAGUGGUGGAACUGCAAGAGCUUUUUAUGAACUCUGUGCUGCUUUGUGGAGUUAUGGCUGAAUGGAUUAGUGUUAAUUGGAGAAUUAGUUGGAAAAGAAUCAAAGUUUUCUUGGAGUUUGAGAUACCCAUCUCUGUUUUCUUUGUGUUCUUAAAUGUAAAUGGAAGGAAUUUAGAAAGAAGGGGAAGUGAUGAAGAGAAAGAAGCGGAAUGUGCUUUGUAUUUAUAAGCAAAUGAAAAAGGUGUAAAAGGGUUGUGUAAGGGUCCCAUAUAAACAGUCAUCAUCCAAUUUGGGCAUAGCCACAUCAUCCUGUAGGAUGUGAAUUCAAAAAUUUAUCCGUUAUUUAGGUUGCUAGGGAAUGAAUCUAUAAAUAAUUAUUUAGAUAUUGUUUGAUUAUUAUUUUGAAUUCAUAACCAUUUCGUUUGUUUGUUUUUAAUUUUUGAAAAUCAAACUUAUUUAAUUUCUUCCAUAUUUGUAUAACAAUAUCUUAAGUUUCAACUAAACUGGAGCAAGAAAAACAAAAGAUUAUCAUUUAAAAUAAUUGAACGAAAAUGUUUACAUAGAAUUGUAGUAAAAGAGAAUGGAGGGGUGUCAUCCAAUAAUUAAUGAAGAGAGAAAAGUGGGAAAUAAAAGUUGAGAGAGUAUCGAGAAAGCGAGAGAGAAUGAAGAUAAAGUUCCAAUAGCCGACAACAUGAGGGUCCAAAUAAAGCCAAAGAAAUAUCCUUUAAUUUUCUUUUUUAUCUUUAUUUUAAUAUUGCAAUGCAUGAACAAAGAUAUUUUUGUUUUGCAUCAACUUUUCUUUUUUUAUUAUAUUUUUUUAAUUUAUGCAUGUACAAACACAUUUCUUGUGCUACAUAUACAAAUCUUAACCACCAUUAUUUUGUGUUAUUAUUAUAUGGUUUUAUUUUGAUUUGGUUGAUUAUGAGAGGUUUUGUGGAGUUGAAGAGUUUUUCACGUUAGCUUUUUGUUUUAAUAUUACAAUCUUUGCAAAAUUUGAUUUUAUUCUUUAACCAUUAGAAUGUGUUUCAACUUUUAGUCUCUCUUUUAACGUCUUACCCAAAAAUGAUGUGAUGUUCUUAAUUAUCAUUAAUCCCCUUAGCAAAAGUAUAAUUUUGCUUCUAACACUAUUAUUAUUAUUAUAUGGUUGUGGUAUUUGGAAAUUAUAUAUUAUUAAAUUAAUCUCUCUUUCACGUAACUCCUCCCUCCUUUUCUUUCUUUUCUAUUUUAACGUCCACAAUUCUAACCUUCACUCUCUCCUCGUAAUUCUUUUUUAUACGUCUAGUUUACUAAUUAUUUUAUUUUUAUUUUUAGUUUCUAAAUUGAUUGUUUUCAAAUAUAAUAAAAGAAGUAAAAAUAUUUAUAAACAAAAAACUACAUGAGAGACAACAAUAGACCAUCAUCUACGUUUAUCUCAUGCACGCUACAAUAUUUAGCUCGAAGUGUACAUAUAUUUAGUUGCAUCUUUUUCUUCAAGUUAAGUCUAUAAAUAACAUUUGUUCUAUUUCUAAAUUUAUUGCUUUAUUCUUUAGUAAUUUUUGCCACUAUUUAAGUCAAGGUUUGAAGACUUAAUAAUAGUUUUAAAAGUUUAUUUUAUUUUAAAUAUUUUUUUACUUAAUAAAAGUGUAAACCAUUGAAAGAAGAUGUGAGAAAAUAAACUUAGAUUUUAAUGUAUGAAAAUCAAAAUAGUUACCAAACAAGAUCUUAGUUUUAUUUUUGAAAAUUAAAUCUCUAAGAACUUGCUGCACGUCUCUAAACUGUUUUAAAAAAUUAAACUAAAAAGAAUAUAUAUAGCUUUUUAAAAGUAUACUGGAUUUACUAGAAUGCAUCUAAAAAUUCAACCAGGUGCGGCAAGAAAUUUGUAUAAAAAUCCUUCAUAUAAGAAAAAUAAUCUUUCAUAAAUGAUAUAUGUAAGUUAAUUCAUGAAGAUUUGAAUAUGGUUUUUUAGAAAUAGAUAAAAGAGUUAAUGGUCAUUACUUCUCAAAUUGUGUUGCCACUCUCUUCUUCUUAAUUUGCUUCUUCAUCCCUCGACGCCCAAUUCAAUCUUCUAAAUAAUUUAUAUCAUUUGUCAAUACUUGCAACUUGAUUUUGUAGCCAAAUGCUACCUAUAUUUUAUAUAUCUCAAAAGGAAAAAAAAGAAAAGAAAUUUGAAGAUAUUAUUUGAAGUUGCAUUGGAAAGCUUUUUUUGGGGGGAGGGGGACAUAAAUGCAAGCAACUUGAUCACAUGAAUUUGGGCCAGAAGUGAGAAAUAAUUUUGAAAGUGGCCCCUAAUAAGACGCAGUUUGGUUAUAAUAAGCAGCUAAGUAUGCAAAAUUGUAUGAUCAAAUCAACAUAUAGCUUUCAAGCAACUGGCCACAAAGGACCCAGUGGUCCGAUACCAUGUCUUUUUCAUCUUAUGCAUUUUUCUUUUUCUUUUCUUUUCUAAUUCUCACUUUUUAUAUAUAUAUAAAAACAAAAAGUUGUUUUCUUGAAUAAUUAUUUAUAACUUAUUUCCUUACAUUCAACUUCACAUUAAGUUACUACAUUAAUAUGGUUAACGUAGUCAUACUAAUUGUUCUUGCUAUAUUUGUACAAUUUAAUAAAUAUGAAUCUACUUUUUAUGUUAAGGAUGGUUUUAGACGAAAAGAGCUAUAAAGUUUUAAAAAGUAUAAAUAUAAAGGUAGAGUCGAGAAAAAAUAGAAUUAACCUAGUUUGUCAAGAUGACUCGUAGAGACUUGCUAGGUCAAACUCAUAUAUAUGCAUCUUUGUAAUACAAAUUUUAUAAAAAUUUCAAAUCCAUUUACAUUUAAAAGUAUUUAUAUUAAAAAGUUUAACAAUGUGUAAAAGUGAGUUUAACUUAGUAAUAAUUGACAUAGUCUUUCAUCCUAAGAAUGUGAGAGAUUUGAAUCAUUUAACCUUCAAUUGUUAUACUAAAAAAAUGUUUAACAUUGUAUUUUAAAAUACAUAACAAAAUCAAAUCAUUUGGCACUAAGUGAACCAACCAUUCUAUAUAGAAAAUACGUAACUGUUUCUAUUACGUUCCAGUGUUUCACCAUGGUUUUUAAAGCAAAUGGAAAGUGCUGUGACGUUAUACAUAUGAUUGGUGACCUCUCACGAUUUUGAGCCAUUGUCAAGCACGGAACAAAGUGAUCACCACCAUCAUGUAAAAUAUAUUUUAGAAACUAAUGAGUAUAUAAAUUUUUUAUCAUAUUAAAUUUGAUCAUACAAUGGAUUCUAAAAAGUAUAAUACAGUUUAAUUUUGAGACUUGGAGUUGUGUUUUUAUUUGGUGUGUGAUCGAGAUUUCAAAAUAUAUCAUACUUUAAUCUUUGAAAUUUGAAAAAUAGUUUUAAAUGUUUCUACGUUAAAAUAACCAAUUAACUAACUAACAAAUAUAUGAUGUGACAUUAUUGUUGUGACAAUUUUAAAACAUAAAUUGUCUACGCUCUUUUACCUCACUCGAUUUAGUGACUUGUAACAAAUAUAUAAAAAUAGACUAUUAAUCAAUAUUGAUUUUGUGUGAAUAUAAAUGGUGAUAUUUUGUUAUAUUUUAAAAUAGACAUACUAAAUAAUAUAUAUAUAUUUUUUUUGGGUAUAAUUAGAAUUGUUUUAUAAGCAUUUAAAGUGGUAGCAAACUUGUUUUUAUAAUAAUGUUUUAGUGGAUGUUAUUAAGAAGAGCUAAUGAGAAAGAAGAAAAAUAGAAUGGUUAAUUAGGUGGAUAAAUAAUAAUCCGGAAAUGCAAUGGGAUAUUAUAUUAUUUAUUAUUAAAGGAAAAGUAUUUGAGAAAGGGAGCUUUCCACGUAGUCAAUUGUGGGUCCGAAAUGACAAAGUUUUUGUUCACUUUUGGUGGGACCCUGACCGACGUGGAACCAAUCAGUUUCUAAACAUAUUCUAACCGUUUCCAACUUUGCUUCUUACGACUAGUUUCCUUCAAACUAUUUUUAAAUAUAGAUUAAUCAAGUCUAUUUUGUACAACAUUUUAAAUAUAUUCAUAUUUAAAAUUCAUGGAUGUUCAAAUUUAAAAUACACAAUUACAUUUUGGUGCACAAUUAAUAUAAUCCAAGACAGUGUUAUGAAAUAGAUGGUGUAUAUCAAACACCCUAUAAUGUGAAUAAAAGCUAUUGAUGAAAUAUUACUAUCAAACAAUAUAGAUAAAAAUCGUCGUUAGAGAUUUGGACACCGUCAUUGAUAUAUCCUAUUUGUGACAGAAAUAGCACAUGUAUAAUCACACAUUUUAUUUCCUAACACCUAACUCUUCUAAUCAAUACACAGUUUAUGUAAUAAUAAGGUUGAUCAUCAUAAAUAAAACGUUAACACUCCAUUGUGUUUGAUUCAACAUUCAUCAAAUGUUAGGUAAACCAAACCAUCUUAAUUAAGAUUGAUUUUUGGAUUGUUAUAUAUUUUAAGAUAUUAUCAUUUUAUUUUAACAAAUACAGAAUUGGUCUAAGAGGUCUAAUCAACAUCAUUGAAAUAAUUAUAAAAUGAGAAAAAAGGUUUUUUUAAAUAAUAAAAUAAAUGAUGCAUGGAUAAAAGUCUAUUGUCGAUAAGAUAUGAAAAAAUCUGGUAUAUUUUGUAAAUAUUUUUAACACUUUUAUCAUUUAUAGUAAUUUCUCUUUAGAAAAAAAUCGUUUUUAUUUAAGCUUUUUUUACGAAUACUAUUUAAAAUAUACUUUCAAAACUUAUUUUGAGGAGUUAUCAAACACUUCAAACUUUUUUCUUUUAAAUGACUUUUUUUUAAAACAAUAUACUUAAAAAUAUAUUCUAAACACAUUUAUAACUAUUUAUCUUGUACAAUUUUCAAACUACAUUUUAAAGUCUAAAUGGUACCAUUAAUCAUAUUUUCAAUUUAAUAAUUAUUGGUAUGGUAUUGAACUUUCGGUUGAGGUUGCCAUUACAAAUUAAAGAUAUUUAUAUUUAAGAUCAAUACUUUAUAUAUAUCUAUAUCCAUACAUUAGAAGAUUUUCUAAAUAGUUUAUGUUUGUUUUGUUCAGAGAUAGUUUUAUUUAUGUUUAGAUCUCAUAAUAUAUGUUAAUGUAUAUUUUGUAAUUUAGGCUAAUUAUAUUACAUAACAUUCCUUAUUUAAUUUGAAUAAUUUAGCUAUUUAUGUAACAAUUGAUAUGAUUGUAAAAUAUAGAAUAUUUAUGAAUAAAGAAUAUUUCCAUAAUAUAUAAUUGAUUAUUUAAGAGUUUCUUGGUGGUUUUUUUUUUUUAAAAUUUGGAGUUGCAGCUAAGAGUGAGACCAUCCCUUAGUGAAAAGACUAAUAUAAUAACUAUUUUUUUAUUGGAUGAUUUGAGAUGGUAUAUAGCAGAUUGGUUCCAAGAGGUUACAUACCAUAGAGGAAACAAUAUUGAUUUUUUUAAUUAUUCCCUAACUCUUAAUUUUCAAAAUUGUAUAAUUGAGAGUUUGAGAAUGCAAUUGUUAUUAUCACUGGAUAAUUCAGUAAUGAUUUUAUAAUUUGUUGAUAUCUUUACUAUCACUUUCACCCACGUAAUAGCUAAAUUCUAAACACCAAAACUACCUACUUUAAUUUUGAAAACAACUAUUAAAAUAAUAAAACAAUCAAAAUCAACCUAUAUAUGUUUAUAAUUAAGCUUAAUUUUUAAAAAGAAAAACAAAAAAAACCAACAGGGUCUUAUUACUUUUUCUUUUUGACAAUUGAUUAGUUCCACUAAUUAAAAAGAUAUUUUUGCAAAUAUUGCAACAAAUUUCUUUUAACAUUUAGCAACAAAGAUAUGUGGUAGUAAAAAGAUAUGGAAAUCUACCAUAAUUUACAUUAGAAGUGACCUUUUAACUCUUUAUAAUUCAUUGUAUAAAGAAAUUAAAUAUUAUCUAAUUUUUAUUUCAAUAUUAAUAUAAUUAUUCCUUUAUUUAUUUAAUAAGUAGUUAAAGUAGUUGAUGGGAUUUUUUUUUUCUUUUUAAUUUCUUUAAACUGAUCAAAACUGAAAUAACUAUUUUAAUUUCAAACAAUAAUGAGAGUCGUAGUAUUUUUUUUUUUAAUUUUAAAAAAUGGAAUAUUAGGAGUAACACAAUAGCAUUGUUUAAAUUUUAGGGCUAACAUGUCACAUGCAUUUAUAGUCUUAUACCCAAGUGGAAAUAAUUUCUCAACGUGAAAUGAAGAAACUUAAGUAUAUAUUAAUGAAUUAAAAUAGAAAUCCAUACAAUAUUAUUGGUGUGUGACAGAUUUUCUUAG